AGAGUUUGAUCCUGGCUCAGGAUGAACGCUGGCGGCGUGCCUAAUACAUGCAAGUCGAGCGAACAGACGAGGAGCUUGCUCCUCUGACGUUAGCGGCGGACGGGUGAGUAACACGUGGAUAACCUACCUAUAAGACUGGGAUAACUUCGGGAAACCGGAGCUAAUACCGGAUAAUAUAUUGAACCGCAUGGUUCAAUAGUGAAAGACGGUUUUGCUGUCACUUAUAGAUGGAUCCGCGCCGCAUUAGCUAGUUGGUAAGGUAACGGCUUACCAAGGCAACGAUGCGUAGCCGACCUGAGAGGGUGAUCGGCCACACUGGAACUGAGACACGGUCCAGACUCCUACGGGAGGCAGCAGUAGGGAAUCUUCCGCAAUGGGCGAAAGCCUGACGGAGCAACGCCGCGUGAGUGAUGAAGGUCUUCGGAUCGUAAAACUCUGUUAUUAGGGAAGAACAAAUGUGUAAGUAACUAUGCACGUCUUGACGGUACCUAAUCAGAAAGCCACGGCUAACUACGUGCCAGCAGCCGCGGUAAUACGUAGGUGGCAAGCGUUAUCCGGAAUUAUUGGGCGUAAAGCGCGCGUAGGCGGUUUUUUAAGUCUGAUGUGAAAGCCCACGGCUCAACCGUGGAGGGUCAUUGGAAACUGGAAAACUUGAGUGCAGAAGAGGAAAGUGGAAUUCCAUGUGUAGCGGUGAAAUGCGCAGAGAUAUGGAGGAACACCAGUGGCGAAGGCGACUUUCUGGUCUGUAACUGACGCUGAUGUGCGAAAGCGUGGGGAUCAAACAGGAUUAGAUACCCUGGUAGUCCACGCCGUAAACGAU
rnacentral:rRNA from 2 species